AGUUUUCAGAGCCCAAUAUACCCAUCAUGACUACCAGUCUGAUAAGGGUGCACGAGGCACAUGUAUCACACCAUAU